UAUUAUUGGUUUUUAAUUAUUUUCCUUUAUUAUUAUUGUUAUUUUAGGAGAAGAUGUGGAAUCAAUGAGCAAAUCAAGGGAGAGAGCCAAGAAUCUCGAAGUCUGGAGCAAUCUGGAUUUCUUUGCGCCAGUUCUGCACCAACUUCCUGUUGCAUUUCGCGCAGACGCGCCAAGGAAGUAGCUGCUGGAAAAUUCUGCGCCAGUUUUGCGCGAGUUUCUUCACGAAGUUCGCGCAUUUGCGCGAAAUAUCUGUCAAACUCUAUUUAAGCGCGUUUUAAACCUAAUUUAGAUACUUUUUCACGUUAGAACUUGGAGAGCUGCGUUUUUGGGUUUUUGCUUAGAGCUUACUUGGUUCUUUGUCAAGAUUUUGAGGUUUGGCUUGAAUUUUGAUUUGUUUCCAUGACUAUGUCAGGCUAAACUCCCUUUGUGUUAGGGUGAUUGAUCUAGUUUUCCUUUAAACUAUGUUUUGAACCA
rnacentral:lncRNA from 1 species